GAUGAACGCUGGCGGCGUGCCUAAUACAUGCAAGUCGAGCGAACAGACGAGGAGCUUGCUCCUCUGACGUUAGCGGCGGACGGGUGAGUAACACGUGGAUAACCUACCUAUAAGACUGGGAUAACUUCGGGAAACCGGAGCUAAUACCGGAUAAUAUAUUGAACCGCAUGGUUCAAUAGUGAAAGACGGUUUUGCUGUCACUUAUAGAUGGAUCCGCGCCGCAUUAGCUAGUUGGUAAGGUAACGGCUUACCAAGGCAACGAUGCGUAGCCGACCUGAGAGGGUGAUCGGCCACACUGGAGCUGAGACACGGUCCAGACUCCUACGGGAGGCCGCAGUAGGGAAUCUUCCGCAAUGGGCGAAAGCCUGACGGAGCAACGCCGCGUGAGUGCUGAAGGUCUUCGGAUCGUAAAACUCUGUUAUUAGGGAAGAACAAAUGUGUAAGUAACUAUGCACGUCUUGACGGUACCUAAUCAGAAAGCCACGGCUAACUACGUG
rnacentral:rRNA from 1 species